AAGUUGUUGUGAUCGAAUGAAACACUGGUCAAAUUUUAAACUGUCAUGAACUAAUGACAGUGUCCUCACAGUGUCCUCGAGGGAGACCCUGCUUCUUCUCCAUCACAGCAGGGGACUCUGUCUGAGGGACAUGGUUCGAGGAGAGGAGCUCACAUGUCCUUCGAUCUCUCCACAAGUCCUCCCUGUGGAGGGAUUUUGUUCAGUCUGGUGGUGACCAGAAGAGGAGCAGCCGACCCAGAUGUGUGCCAUCACCCUGCAACAUGCAACAGCUGUCAUUACUGAGGUUUAUCCAAACCUAAUCUGAGGAGCCUCUGGGAAGAGAACUUAAGACAAAAGGCUUGAGGGGUGGAUGCUGGCCAGGCAGCAGCAAAGGCGGAUGGAGUCAGAUGCUUGAGAAGAGAGGAGCACUAUAACCUGUAGUGGGGUGGAGAACAGUUUGUCUUUGGAAAUACAGCAUCCUGGUGUACAGAAGAGGAAGGAACACUCAUGUGCCUGUGAUUUGGGGAUGGUUACUUCCCAGUGUUAACCGGGAGCCAGACAGAGUUCCUUGCUCUGAAAGUUGUUAAAGCUGGUGACGGAACACACAGAAAGCGCCUGUGAUCACUU